UUAGGCGGUUCCGAUCAUUAGGCCAAAUCCGUCGUUUUUGCCGUGACCAUAGGCUCGUGAGUCAGCUACCCAAAAAACCAACAAUUGUAAACAGGUCGCGAGCUCGGCGCCCGUUGGGACGUUUCGAGAACAUUCUCGAAAUUCAAAUCCUAACGCCUGUCGUCAACUCCGGCGGAUAUAAAUAUAGCGGACAGGGUAGCGACGCAUCCUUAGUUACCGAGAGAUACGAGCAGCGACAAUUAACCGAUACUUCUUUGCGCCGAUCUAUUAGCGACCGCGAAACGAGACAGCAAGUAUAUUAUAUGGUUAGCCGACAUGCACCUUCUUUCCCCGCAAUGCAAAGCAGACUUGGAUAUGGUGUUCAUCGCCAGGAUGGGUUUCUUCAUGAUCUUUGUGCUGUUGACGGAGGAAGACGAAGAGGAAGAGGAGGCUGCACACUCGCCGCAUUCAGUCUCGUCGCUGUGAUCCGCACAAUCCAAGUAGCCGUCGCAUCGCCAGUCAACCGGAAUGCAUCUGGUCCCAUCGCAUUGGAACCCACUGGUGCAUACUGUGCAACGCGUGCAUCAAGAAAUGGCUAACAGUACAGUUCUUUUCUAUGUACUACGUACACUCGCGUUUCUCCUUCGUUUCUGUAUUUUAUUUCCAAUUUUUUUCAUCUUGUUUUUUACGUUUUCCCCUGUUCAGAGUUUUCGAUGGUCUCGUAAUGGAAGAGGAACAGAUGAAACGUGAAAAUGUAAAAAAAUUGAAAGAAUAGAGGAUCAGAGAAUGCAUGAUAAAUGGCUGUGAUUGUCUUCGGGUUGGGGAUUUGCUCAUUGUGAAGCCGAGGUAUUACGGGACGGUAUAGUUAUCCACUUUUUUUAUGUCUUUGUAUUGAGAUAAUUAAUGCAGGAUCGAUAAUGUUAAUCGUCAAUGAGAUUUCUAAGUACAAAUCUUCCCUUUCGAGCGAACAUUUUAGCUUCUAUAAUAUCACGUAAUUUAGAAAUUUGAUGAUUAGGUAUGUACAUUUUAUUGAAGUAAUUACGAAAUUAAUCUUCUGAAAUUAAAAUUAGAGAUUAUAGUUAUAUCAGUUAUAAUUUGUAUCCUUAUAAACAAACAAAAUUCCGAUUAAAUUAGAGCGUAAGGAUAUUCAAUGCUUAAAAGGAUUUUUAUCAAUUUGCUUAAAUAUAAAAUCAUUUCUUUUAAUUUGUCAGCUUCUUUGUAAGAAACUUCAAUUAUAGCAAUUCCCGUAGUAAUUAAAAUUAGGGGCAACUUAAAAUACAUCAUGAGAAUAUACUCGUACCAAAGCAAAUAUAAUAUCAAA
rnacentral:misc_RNA from 1 species